GCUUAAGGGACAAUACAAACAACCAAAAAACUUGAACAAUUUUUUUGUUUUCCUCAGUAUUUAAAAAAAGAAAACUUCCAAAUAAUUUUCAGAUGGGUGGCAUUACUACUGAUAUUUAUAAUUAAAAAUUAAUCUGGGGUUGAAACAAGACUACUUAUUUUUACAGGUACCAUCUGGUCUCAGCAGAUAUUAAGCUUGAUUUGUUUUGAGGGACAUCAUAACAGCACUGAAACAGGGGAUGCACACCAUAAGGAUAUCAGAACUUCUGUGCUUAAAAUCAUCAGUUUUCUUGUGAAAGAACUGAAUGAAGACAACAUGGACGCUGUUGUAAACCAGGCAACAUUUCAGAACAUGAAGCUUCAUCUGCAAGCUAAUUAUGUUUGUGUUCUGAAACAAAAUCAGGGCAAUAACAAAUGAGGAAAAUUUCCUGAGCAAAGGUACCAUCAGAGACUGGAAGCAUCACUUGACUGUGGACCAAAUGAAGUAUUUGAGAGAAUAUUCCAAAGGGAGAUGAAAGAUUUUCCUUUGAAGUUCAUCUGGGAUACAAAUGAGGAGUAGAAUCAGUACAAAAAAAUCAUAUAAAAAUCUGCUAACUAGAGAGCAUAUUUUAAUAUACAACACUAAUUUGUGAUUCUUAUUGGAAUGUUAAUUAUAAAAUUUUGUUGAUAAACAAAAU
rnacentral:lncRNA from 1 species